rnacentral:rRNA from 1 species
ACGCGACUCUGUAUUCUCCUACCGGAAGGCAGCUAUAGUAAAGAAUAUAGUUGUGGAUCCAGUGGAACAAUUGGUCUGAACAAGCCUCUCCCGCGUGGCAGGGAUAGAGGCUCCUGAGUGAAUUGUAACUGUUUUUAGCAAGAGAAAGAAAAGCCAUUCAAUUUAUGAGUUUCUGACCGGUACCAGCAUAAGAAGCACCGGGCUAAACUACGUGCCAGCAGCCGCGGUAAUACGUAGGGUGCGAGCGUUAAUCGGAAUUACUGGGCGUAAAGCGUGCGCAGGCGGUUUCGUAAGACAGAGGUGAAAUCCCCGGGCUCAACCUGGGAACUGCCUUUGUGACUGCGAGGCUAGAGUAUGGCAGAGGGGGGUGGAAUUCCACGUGUAGCAGUGAAAUGCGUAGAGAUGUGGAGGAACACCGAUGGCGAAGGCAGCCCCCUGGGCCAAUACUGACGCUCAUGCACGAAAGCGUGGGGAGCAAACAGGAUUAGAUACCCUGGUAGUCCACGCCCUAAACGAUGUCAACUAGGUGUUGGGUGGGUUAAACCAUUUAGUACCGUAGCUAACGCGUGAAGUUGACCGCCUGGGGAGUACGGCCGCAAGGUUAAAACUCAAAGGAAUUGACGGGGACCCGCGCAAGCGGUGGAUGAUGUGGAUUAAUUCGAUGCAACGCGAAAAACCUUACCUACCC